UUAAACAAGUGAUAUAAAUGAAUGAAUAUCAAUUUAUAAAUGAACAUUUCAAGAAAAAAAAAUUCAGAUUCAACUGCUCAUGCGCAUUCACUUCGCGACGGCAGCCGCGAUGGCGCUGGGGGCUCGCGGCUGGAAAAUAUUACCCGUUAUUAAUAUACAUUUAUCUAGGUAGGUGUGUAUUUCAUGUAUUGAUACAUAUCGGCGAGGGAGACUAUGUUUCUUGGCUGGCCUGGCCUGGGAACGCCUGCUUGGGAUUCCCCCGGAGGAGAGGGACGUCUGGGCUUCACUAUUGAAGCUGCUACUCCCACGACCCGACUCCGUAUAGGCGGAUAGAUAUCGGUUUAAGUUGGAGAAAACACAGACGCCAGCUUAGCUAACAUUGCUGUUUGUGUUGAAGUGAAUCUACUACCUUUAUAGACAAAGCACGUGCAGAGAGCCUCUCUGCUCUAAGAUCUUUGGUGGGAGAUGGUAUUUAUCUUUAUUAGAAAAUAUACCAAAAAUGAAAAUAGACUGCAGUUUUAUUAAUAUGGUGGUGAGUGAUGACGCAGUGCUUUCCUCGUAUUUAGGCUGCAGUAGAUCACCAUGUUAAGUUUUCCCCAUAUGGCAAUUAUGCCUCAUUUGCCAAUAAAUAUGAAUUGUUAGGCGUGGAGUUUCUUGUGGUGCAACAUGGGAAAAUAAACUCAUUCUACUCAAUAAACUAUGCAUUAUACAAUGCUAUUUUUCCCAGGAACACUGUUGAAGUACUUUGGAGAACAACCAACUUUACCUUCCCCUAAUGUUUCAUCUAGUGUCAGUGCCUCCACAGCUGAUGAUGCAGCAGGUUCAUCCGUUGCACAAGCGAUUAAAAGCGAGGAGCAGUUACAUGCGCCUGAAAGCGAGGAGCAGUUACAAGCACCUACAUUCACCGAUACGUUGGUUUCAAAAUCAGCUGGCAUGACAGGUCCUUCUACAUCUGCACCCACUGCUAUAGAUUUACCAUCCACUGCCUCAACAAGCUCCAGCUAUCAAGAUAGAUCAACAGCUCCUCCAAUUGAUCCAGUUGAAUGGUCAGCAUUCCUCUCAGACUUAGAAAGGACUGAACUGGUAAGAAGAGGGCCAGUGCCAAUCAGUGACACCUCUACAUUCCCCAAGAAAUCAGAUGGACGAAGCUUUCACUACCACUAUAUAUACAGAUAAUUAGUUAAUGGGGGAAAAAAUCAAGCGAAGCUGGCUAAUUUAUUCAAAGAAAAGUGAUGCAGUUUACUGCUUCUGUUGCAAAUUAUUCUCAAGAAAGUCCACAAAGCUGUCAACAGAGGGACUGCGUGAUUGGGUAAAUGUAGGUGCUUUGCUGAAACAGCAUGAAAAUAGUCAAGAUCAUUGCAAUAAU